rnacentral:tRNA from 1 species
GGGCCACUAGCUCAUCAGGCAGAGCACCACCCUUUUAAGGUGGGUGUGCCGCGUUCGAGUCGCGGGUGGCUCA